AUAUUUUUCCCGGCACUGGAACCGAAGACACGUCUGGACUUGUUUGUCAGAAAAAAUUAAGACAAGUCGUUUUUGGUGGUUUUGCCUGGGAUUGGACAUGUUUGUUUCAGUCUACAGUCGAUAGGGAGUACUUUUCCUCAAACCUCCACGCAAACUGAAUGCUGCUGAUGGUGACCUUGAAAUCCCAAUAGGAAUCAUCUUCAAUGGUGAAAACGGAAGUCCAGAGCAAGAACUGAACCCCUCCCAGCUGGGGAUCCUUCUAGAGGGCAAUGUGGUAAUGGAUUCCAUCUGCAGUCUUCCUUUGGCAAUGUGUCUCCUGUUUGGACUGACUUAUGCACUCCACUUGGAGUACCCAAAGUGCAUGAAGAAUACAUUCCUGUUUAUCCAGCAGAUUAUGCUGAAUCUGGGACGAAACGAUCCUCCUCCAAAACUCCAAAGGCUAAAAAAUGAGCUUUCAAUGUGUGCAUAGAUACAUUGAAUGUUCACUCUUCAUUGAGCAGCUUUUUCUCAAGUUCAGGAAGU